rnacentral:lncRNA from 1 species
UAACUUUAAAAAGUUUAACUUUAUUUAGACAGAAAACUUGGAUAAAGUUUUGCAGAGGAAGCAGAGCCAAAUAAGAGCGAAUUUCACUUCACCAAGUCAGAGAAGGAAAGCCCCAUGGCCAGAAGAUUCAAGACCAAAGACCAAUAUGGAGAGAUGAUGAUCAGCAGGAAACAGCAGUCAAGAGCCGAGGGAACAUGAAGCAGUCUUCCUCACUACAGAGAUGACCUGUCAAGGAUCCAGUGCUCCAGUCCAUUCAUCAACACACAUCCCCUGAAUGGAGGAUGGAGCCUGCAUCGUCAUAACAUCAUCUUCCUUAUGUGGCAACAGACAUCAUAUAUUUAUAUGUAAAACAGCGCACAACUGAAUCAGUG